rnacentral:lncRNA from 10 species
GUAGGCUCCAUUUCAGUGUAUACAGGAAUCCCUGGAGACACUUGCUAACAAUGUAGAUUCCAGGGUCCUAGUCCCAUAAAUUCCGAUUCAGGUCUAAUAUUGAGGCCUGGCAAUCUGCAUUGUCAACAAUGCAGCUUAUCCUGAAGUGGUUAAUCUGGGAAUAUCCUUUGAAAAACACUGAAAUAAACUACCAACAUCUAUGAAAACAUUUACGGGUGCUUAAAUUUCAGGAUGUUUCUUUUCUUUCUCCCCAUUUCCUCUCAUCCAUUAUGCAUGAAAGACUUCUGCAAGAUGCCAAGAGGGGAACUUGGGCUUUUUCUUUUUUCCAAUUGCCUUUUACAGAGUGAUGGAAAGUUAACUACGAACUCCUGCGGGGAAAAGAAGAGACGAUCUAGGCCUAAAAAUCGUGUCUACUCUCCAAGAGAGGUAUAUUCUCCUUUAAACACCCAAUUUGAUGCCCAGUGGUAACACUUUAUGAAGCAAGACCAAGAGCAAAGUCAACAUUUCUUUGUUCCUUAAUUAUAAGCAGCAUGUGCACCUUGCAUAUCUCAGCAAGUGAUAAACAGUCAUACUCCCCCAAAUACUGAAUGGAGGGUUGAGAAGAUUAGAUGAAAAACAAAUGCUUAACAGCCUGCUGUAGAUUUUGCUUUCCUAUCUCUCAAAAUUAAUGCUGAUUAAGCCUCUGUAAAGGGAAAAUGCCCCUCCCUGUUUAUACCAUCAUUUAUACAAGACUGAAUUCUUAUUGACAGUGAACCUGUAUUUCUAAAAUAUAUAAAUAUGAAAAUAUGUUCACUCCUAUCUAGUCUGAGAUUGUGAAUCAAAUGUUGUGUUGGUGGUAAAAUUCUACAGACAUAGUCUCCUCUUUUGCAGUUCAGUGGUUGCAAGAGGGCCUGAAGCUGCAGUAGCCAUGUGCUGUAAUAAUGAUUGCAUUGAUUAAGUGCCAAUUACUUCUGGAGACUUUUCAAAGGCCUCUGCUGCAGAGUUGAAACUAGGCUUUCUGUCUGAUAUUAGAUACAUCUCUAAUGCUAGGUGAUGGCUGGUUUGGGAUCUCUGGCAAUUACUUCUGUCAUGUACUUUAAUCAACAGCGUGCCUACUAUUAUAACAAGUCCCCACACCCACUGUGAAGCAUUACUCAGACUCUCUUUCCCUUAACCCCCACCCUGCUCACAUGAACCUGAGCUUCUGAUCCAUAGAUGAUUAAGUUGCUCUGGUGAAUCACCCUCAGUGGGAUGGGGCAGGCUUCCAACCAGAGCCAGAUCUUUACCACAACCAAGUGCUUGUCUGGAGGGAUGAUGAAUCCUACGGGCCCAGCCAGAGGUCAAAUUACCUGUCUAGCUAUUCUGCUGGGUAUCAGUCUUCUGGUAGGCAUCCUAUUUAGCACAUGCUUCCAUUAGCAAAUAUUUAGGAAGGACCUAUGCUUGCAUAUAGUUCCCCGAAAAAUUAUUUGCAACUAAGUUUUGGAUCUAAUCACCAUCAUUGGCUGAUUUUGCCACCAUCUUUGAAAUAGUUGGCAGACUGUGAUAGAACAUUGAUGGACUGAAAGUUGAGCUAAAAGAGUGACUAAGUCACCAACUUGCUGUGUGACCUUGGGCAUUUAUUUCAAAACAAGGGGAUUGUGCAAUACAUUUUCUGAGAUCCCGUCCAACUCUAGCACUCGGUGGAUUAAUUUCAUUUUUGCAGUGAGCUUCUUAUUCAUUUGCCAGAGGCAAUUGAACUAAUUCACUAGGGCUGCCAUUCAAAGUUCUUCAAACUGGGUGACUUAAGCAACAGAAAUUUAUCUUCUCACAGUUCUGGAGGCUGGGAACCCAAGAUCGAGGUAUUAGCAGAGUUGGUUCUUUCUGAGGGAAGUGAGGAAGGAAUCCAUUCCAGGCUGCUCUCCUUGGCCUGUAGAGGGCCAUCUUCAUCUUCAUAUGGUGUUCUUCCUUUGUGAGCAUCUGUCUCCAAAUUUCCCCUCUUUAUAAGGAUAGCAGGCAUAUUGGAGUAGAGAUGCCCUAAUGACCUCAUUUUAACUUGAUUACCUCUAUAAAGACCCUAUCUCCAAAUAAGGUCACAUUCUGAGGGACUGAGGGUUAGCACUUCAACAUAUGAAUACUUGGGGGACACAAUUCAACCCAUAACAAAAAGUAAGUAUUAAAUAUAGGUAAGGAAUAAAGAAUAAUGCCUUGGUAGCCUUUAAGGCUGGUAACUGACAGGGACAUGGUCAGCCAGCAAGUAAGCAUAGAUUGUCAAAUUUAUGUUGUAACUCUAAUGGCUUAAAGCUACAUUAACACUAAUUUUAUCUCCACAUAUGGAUAUUGUGUAAGAGUCAGCUCUGAAUUCUCUUCUACCUGAAAUUUUUCAGCGUCGCCCUGCUUUCCAGUGUUAUUUCAUCUGUUUUUAUAAUUGGAUGUGAAACUUCUUGAGAAAGGGUCCUAUGACUCUUUAACCAAUUAUUGUUCAAAGGAGUCCCCAAAGUGUUAAGCAGGUAGGUCAUUGUUUAAUUAAAUGACUCUGUUGAGGUUUGAGUGUGUUUGGCCCUCAGAGGAUAUAAUUAUAAGUAGAAUAUGCUUUCUUGUGCUGAUAUGGGUCUCCUGAUUAUAUAAUGUUAUUUAUAUAUUAAGAAGAGAGAAAAGGAAUGCAUUAGAUUUUGAUGACUUACAGCUACACAUCUGGCAUUAAUGGAAAUAAAUGAAAGAUUUCAAUCAAUUCAAACAAGGACACUUUGGGAUGGAAUCGGGUAUCGUCAGUAAAGAAACGGACGAUAAUCCAGAAACGAUAAUCCAGAAACUGACUGGGAGAGCACCAUCCCCUAAAAAAGUGAGAUGGCAACGCACCUCAUCCACUCUUUCAGGUAAGUAUUUGCAGUUCUUAGGGAUAGGAAGUGUGUGUGACCAAAUCAGGAAGCGAAUUAUGCUACCAUCAUAUCACAAUCUGAUCAAAAAGUAAAAUUCAUCAAUGUACCUGUCAUAUCUCUAACCAAUCUCCAAUUCUUUUCUGUAGCAACUGCAUAGACUCUCUCUCUCUCUCUCUCCCCACCCCCCCAGCAUUGAAUGGUUAUCCCAGACUGAAGUGCAGUAGCACAAUCAUAGUUCACUGUGUCUUCGAACUCCUGGGCUCAAGCAGUCCUCUAGCCUCAGCCUCCAGAGUAGCCAGGAAUACAAGCAUGAGCCACCAUGCCCAGCUAGUUUUUAUUUUUUGUAGAGAUGGGGGGUCUCACUAUGUUGUCCAGGCUGGUCUUGAAAUCCUGGUUUCAAGCAAUCCUCCAGCCUCAGCCUCCCAAAGUGCUGGGCCCUUUUUUUUUUCCUUUUUUAAUAGCUUUAUUGAGAUAACUUACAUACCAUAAAGUUCACACAUUUAAAGCGUACAACUCAAUGGUUUUUAAGUAUAUUUAAAGAAUUGUGCAUCAUCACUGUAAUCUAAUUAUAGAAUAUUUUCAUCACUCCCCAAAGAAAUUGUGUACUCAUUAGCAGUCAUUCCCCAGUCACCACCUCCUGAGCCCUAGACAACCACUAAUCUAUUUUCUGUCUUUAGAUUUGCCUAUUCUGAAGAUUUCCUAUAAAUGGUUUCAUGCGUUAUGUGGUCUUUUUGUGACUGAUUUCUUUGACUUAACAUGAUGUUUUUGAGGUUCAUCCACAUUGUGGCAUAUAUCAAUACUAUAUUUCUUUUUGUUGCCUGCAAAGUCUCCUUUUAAAAAACGCUUCCUUUACCCAUAAAUGAGUUUUGAGUUUGGGCU